rnacentral:lncRNA from 1 species
AUGGCUCGUACAGCUAGCUGUGGAGUAUUUUUUCUUUUAAAGAUCCAGCGAUCGCUGGCUUGUAUUAGAAAGCAGAUAGCACAUGGUGAAAAACAUCGAGGAAGGCUGUGAUCACAUGAUCAAGGAAGUAAUAAAAAGAAUAUAAAAAGGAAAACUUUGAGAGCUAAAGCUAUCUUUCACGGUGGUUUCCCAAACGGGUGCUCCAAUGAGGUCGCGCCUGCUUCGCGCCAAAGUCUUAGGAUUUUUGUGAUUUCCUCUUUGAUGUCUUGGACUUUUGCUU